AACGAACGCUGGCGGCAUGCCUAACACAUGCAAGUCGAACGAUGCUUUCGGGCAUAGUGGCGCACGGGUGCGUAACGCGUGGGAAUCUGCCCUUGGGUUCGGAAUAACAGUGAGGAAUUGCUGCUAAUACCGGAUGAUGUCUUCGGACCAAAGAUUUAUCGCCCAGGGAUGAGCCCGCGUAGGAUUAGCUAGUUGGUGGGGUAAUGGCCUACCAAGGCGACGAUCCUUAGCUGGUCUGAGAGGAUGAUCAGCCACACUGGGACUGAGACACGGCCCAGACUCCUACGGGAGGCAGCAGUGGGGAAUAUUGGACAAUGGGCGCAAGCCUGAUCCAGCAAUGCCGCGUGAGUGAUGAAGGCCUUAGGGUUGUAAAGCUCUUUUACCCGGGAUGAUAAUGACAGUACCGGGAGAAUAAGCUCCGGCUAACUCCGUG
rnacentral:rRNA from 1 species